rnacentral:rRNA from 1 species
CCUACGGGGAGCAGCAGUGGGGGAUAUCGCACAAUGGGGGGAACCCUGAUGCAGCGACGCCGCGUGGGUGAAGGAGUGCUUCGGCAUGUAAAGCCCUAUCGGCAGGGAAGAAGCAAGACGGUACCUGACUAAGAAGCCCCGGCUAACUACGUGCCAGCAGCCGCGGUAAUACGUAGGGGGCGAGCGUUAUCCGGAUUCACUGGGUGUAAAGGGAGCGUAGACGGCCAUGCAAGCCAGGGGUGAAAGCCCGGGGCCCAACCCCGGGACUGCCCUUGGAACUGUGCGGCUAGAGUGCGGGAGGGGCAGGCGGAAUUCCUGGUGUAGCGGUGAAAUGCGUAGAUAUCAGGAGGAACACCGGCGGCGAAGGCGGCCUGCUGGACUGCGACUGACGUUGAGGCUCGAAAGCGUGGGGAGCGAACAGGAUUAGAUACCCCAGUAGUC